CAGGACUCCUUUCAAGAGCCAGGAUCUAAAAUCCUUGGGGCUGAAGUAGGCAGGCAUAUAGGUUAAAAUUAAUUAGGUUUGUGAGCUGGAAGACCACGCCUUCGCCACGCCCCUGUGUGACCUCAUGUCCCUACCUGGCCACACCUGAGUGCCCACCAGCCAAUCAGGUUAAUUAACCACUCCCCUUUGGAAGCGGGUUAAAAGCCUGGGACAUGGUGUGUCUGGCCUUCUCUUCGGCCCUGGCCUCUUCCCAGGAUGCAGCUUGCUGUAACCCUGCACCUCCAGGGCACACGGCCUUUGGGCCACGUGCUCUAGGCUUCCUGGCCUAGAUACUCCUCCAUGUGGCUGGUUCCUGGUGCUCGGAAAGGCCCUUGUCUUCCAGCCUGGUGCCCUCCUUGUUUGUCCUCUCCAUCACGGGACUCUGUCCGUAUCCUCUGGGCACCACAGGCCUUGUGCAUCCCAGGGUCCUGGCCUAUACCCAACCAUGUCUUUGUUAUCACAGAGAAGUCUUAAAGAGACCGGAUUUCCUUCUGUUCUAUUGUGUCCCCGUGAACGCCUUUGCAAUUGAAAAGGAGGCCACCGAGGGUGGCGGGAAGGGAGUCAGCAGAAGUCACACAAAGUGAGAGGAAGAUGGCCCAAAUCCAUGGGCCCCUGCACCCACAUGUGGGAGACCUGGAUGAAGCUCCUGGCUCGACUUCAGCCUGGCCUAGACCCAGCCAUUGUGGCCAUUUAUGGAAUGAACCACCAGAUGGAAGAUUUUCUGUGUCUCUCCCUCUCUCUGACUUUCAAAUAAAUAAAUCUAUAAUUUAAAGAUUCCUGGAAAAAAUGGAAUUA